rnacentral:rRNA from 1 species
GCUCGAGUGGCGAACGGGCGAGUAACACGUGAGUAACCUGCCCUUGACUUUGGGAUAACUUCAGGAAACUGGGGCUAAUACCGGAUAGGAGCUCCUGCUGCAUGGUGGGGGUUGGAAAGUUUCGGCGGUUGGGGAUGGACUCGCGGCUUAUCAGCUUGUUGGUGGGGUAGUGGCUUACCAAGGCUUUGGCGGGUAGCCGGCCUGAGAGGGUGACCGGCCACAUUGGGACUGAGAUACGGCCCAG